AAGCGCGUCUCCGCUGCUCGCGGUCCAGCCCCAAUCGCGAGCGGAGGGCCGUCCGCUCCCCUUCUCUUCCGUAGCUGCCGCCGACGACGCGACUACCGGGGAAAGCUGCAGUCAUGGUCAAAUCAAAUGUUGCUGCUGAAGUUGUAUAUGAUCCUUCAAAUUCUCAUUCUUAUAUAUCUCGUUCCAGAUUGUAUGCUAGUGAAAAGUGGAACUUCGUGGUAUAACAUGAUUCUCUUGUUCUGAAUACUGAAAAAGAAUGUUAAAUGCUAAUUUAGAUUCCCUUUUAAGAAAUUUAUGAUUGUAAGAGAUAUUUGUUCUUGAAUAUUCUUAUGCUUCAUGAGUUAAUCCUGUGAGAGUACAGAUCUGGUAAACCUAGAGGAAGAAGAAUGUAGUUGGUUGUAGUUGGUACUUACAGACAAAUUCUACCAAUAUUUGCAGUUUCUCUUCA